UUGAGAAUCGACCACCUUCACUGCGCUGCGUUGACGAACUCCAAGAACGAAGGAGGAAUUCAGCAGGCUUGUAGGCCGUAGAUGAUGCCGCGAUGGCAGGCCACCUUGGCGUCUUGGUCGUCGAAGAACGUCUGCUUCAUCUUCAGAUAGACUUGGCAGGUCACCAAGCUAUCUGAUCCAGCUUGAUGCGACUUCCCAGCUUGGCGUGGCACCCCGAGGGUACUCGCCACUUUCUCCAGCCCGCCGGAGAGACCCUUGCAGCCGCGCAUCAUGUGCUUGAGAUCCACAGUCUCUCCGAAGAGCAAGUUCACCAGGCCGAGGAACUCGUCCAGGGUGUUGGGCAGAGGCCGGCCGAACCCCAGCACCUUGAUGAGAUAGGCGAAGUCGUAGCAGCUGUGAAAGGCGAUCCAUCGAGUAGAGUGCGGGCGGCAGAAACGGCAAUGAGCGACGAGGGUGGAACGAUGGAGGUGGGCGGCGAACUGGCCGGAGUCAAUGCCGUAGAGGGGGAGCCGGUCGAAGUCGAUGCCACUGGAGCGGAGCAGGUCGACGGAGUCCGGCGCGUGGGGGUCGCAUCGGACAUCGAAUUCCCGGAAGUUGAACUCCCACACGAACCCGACCCUGCCGCCGGUGCCGAUGUCGGGGAGGUCGCCGAAGGCGUCGAAGAGGGUGAGGCCGAGUUGGACGAGCUCCAUCUUGUCGACGUUGGCCUUGAGGAAGGCGUAGCGCAGGCUGGGCGGGAGAAGACGGUGUGGCCUCCGAGUUCUGUAGAGGAAGCCGGGAAACUCCGUGUCGAAGGCGACGUAAGAGAAGCGAUCCACGAGGGAAGCAAUGAUGGAGAACUCGUACUCCAAGUUCCACGCCCAAACCGAGCGCACCACCAAAUGUUGCCGCCCUCCUCCUCCUCCUCCUCGUUGCGAAGACAUCUUUCCACGCGACGAGACAACAGUGUGGAGCGAAGAAGAGUGUCGGAGAGGAGUGAUGCGUGACAAGUCCAAAGGUCACGUCCUUAUAUAACAGGCAGACUGUCCGAACCCCAGUUCGAUUCGGAUUCCUAUCCGAAUCGAGCUAUAAUCCUAAUCCAAGAAGGAAAGAUGCGGGCGUUAAGCCCCAGCUCGAUCCGAUGUCUCUCGGAAUCCUAGUCCGAUUCUAACGAUCCAAGGUAUCUUCGUUCGAAGUACGUCUCCACAUUUGUGGGCCUUAACUCGGCCCAUCCUGCUACGGUCUCGGCCUUCUAUCAAGUAUGUACUACCGCUGCCUUCGUCGCUUGAAGCUCCACGACGGCACACCCCGCGGAGAUGGGAGACCCCGGAGCGGCAUCGAGGAGGAAGAACCGAUUACCGAAGGGGGGCAGCGAAUCUUCCGAUCUCCACGCCGCCGCGAGGAACGGGGACCUCACCACGGUCGAGUCCAUCUGCAACGCUAAUCCCCUCGCCGUCAAUACUCGAGAUCGCCAUUCCCGGACACCGUAUCCUUUCUCCCUUGUUCUCCUUUCCUCAAUCUUCGCUUUUGUUGUCGUUAUCAUGUGGUGGGCUCUUCGCUUGGUUCAGAAUCUGUCGAGCGAGCAGCUUAUUGCGCCGCCGAGAGUUUGGCACUGAGGUUUAAGGUUCCCUUAGGGUUUUUGAGCUUUAACCUACUUGGCUGGUUCAUUUAAAUUCCUUUGCUAGGAUUCGCAUUGCUGUCUGAUUUGGUGCAUUAUUUGUGACUAGCUGGCCCUUCUGAGUCUUAGGUCUUAAAUAUCAACUCGAUUCCUUUGAAAAGAGAAUGAAGAAAAGGAUAUAGAUGAUGAAACUAUCUAUCGAUGGAGGAUGACUGUGGCAAUGAUUUGCAGAAAUGAUACAUUCGGAUUCAUCCACACUGACACUCUUCGGUAUAAGAACUUCCACAUAACUUGUGGGUGGAAUUGUGUUGCUUCGAUACUUAGAUUUAAUAUUGGAAAUGUUCAUUACGAAGCUGAGAAAUUGUUGCUGUUGACAAUUUAAACAUCUCUUUUCUGUCAAUUUAUGUUAUGAGUUUUUGGGUAUUAAAAAUUUUAAACAUCCAACAAGUGCUUUACUUUUCAAGAUCUCGAUAUCGGGUAAGUAAAUUAAUAAAAAUUAUUCAAUAUCUUGAACCUCCAUAUGGUCGAAAAAGGGAUACAUCAUAGUUUUUCUUACUAAACCUGUUGUCAUCUUAGAAAGUUGCAAGUCAUAGGGUACAAACUCAACUUUUUGGAUAUUUCUUGUUAACACACAGAGACAGUUGACUAGUGAGUUGGCCCGAUUAGUUAUAUGUCCAAAGUGUAGGUCCCUUCUGCUGGCUUGCCUUCUAGUCGCGCCUCCUAGCUACGCUGACGACCUUGCACAAUAGGCUUGUGCCGAGGGUGUCUCAGGUCGACCCCUCCGAUGCUUAAGUUAGUGAAAGAUGGAUAGGGAGGAAGACAAUAGUGAGAGUAGUGUAAAUGAGAGAAUAGGCGGUUUUUGCCUGCCUCCUUUUGUCUAGGUAUAGGUCUUGGCUUUUAUACCUACUCAUUGAGUGGUCUAGACGUGUGCUAGCCAAGGCCUCCCUUACUAUGUAUGGUGGAGGCAUUAAUAAGGAUGGCUUGUUGGUGCGGACCAUUGGGACGCCUUUGGGCUGACUCCCCUGCCACUUUAGGUUAGGCAGGGAGUGAGCCCUCCAUCGGUCAUCCGAAGGGGAAGGCUGGUGAAAUCGGGCCAUUCUGUCAAUCAUUAAUACGGAGGCUUGGCUUCUGCUGAGAUGUCAGCCAGUAGGCGACUAGGGAAGCAUGGGGCAUGCUGCCAGUCAUUAAUGCAGAGGCAUGGCUUCUGUUGAGAUGUCAGCUAGGAGGCGGUUGGGAAGCUCGGGCAUGCUGCCAACCAUUAAUACGGGGCAUGGUUUCUUUAGUUGCGGUAUCGGUAAGGAGUGGGUCUUGUGUGCCCACUUUGGGAAGCUAGGACAGUAGGGCAGAUCCCUACCGGCGGUUGGGUGGAGUUGGUUGUUUCCUACAUUUGGCUUUGGUGGCGUUGUUGGCCUAGGUGGCGAGGUGAGCUGGCAAUGCCAAACUUUUUUGUAUCGUUUGCCCCCCUUGGAAGGUGUGCUUCGGGACACUACAAAGGGGCCUUGAAUUUUGUCAUUUUACUUAUACUACUACAUGCUUGCGUGAGUGUUGUUUUUGCUGUGAGAUCCUUAUUAAGGCUGUGAUGGUUGGUGCGAGAUCCAUCGAGGCGGAUGACACUCUUUUGUAGGGGCAAAUGUAGGAGUGACGAAUGUUGACCUAAGUGAAUCCUUUCUUUUUUCCUUCCCUCUCUCUCUUUGUUCUCCCCCUUUGGCACGGUAGUUCACUCUCUCUCAUUUUUUGAUCUCCCCCUUCUGCUUUGGGAGGUUUCCCUCUCUGUUUUUCCCUCCCCCUACUGUCCGGAAGGUUGGGUCUUCUUUUGGGCUUGUCCCUUCUUCUGCUUCUUGGGCAGGUACUCGACCAACAGGGUGUGAGUGUGUUGGCUCGAUCGUAUGAGCGGGAGGAUCAGUAUCAAUCCGUCAUAGCGGGAGUAUUUGUUGGGAAAUCUUGGGGGGCGACAUCACAUGCGUAGCGGAAGAACAGAAAACAAAAUCCCCAAUUCCUAAAGAUGUAUUCGUCGUCGUGCGAAGAUUAGUACGCAAAAAUCCGCGAAACUUAAAACCGCGUAUAAGAUAAAUUGUGAUACCUAGGGAGAUCGUAUAUCCCUGAAUCCUUGCAGAUUUCUAGGAGAGGGUGAAUGAGGUCUAGCGCACUCCUCUCUGGUAGAGGGGGAGGAGAAUAAGAGAGGCAAGCAAAAGGUUCUAGCCUAUGAACCAUUGAUUCCCUCCAAUUUAUAGAGUUCCGUAGUAAACUUAACCCUAAUGGAUCCUCCCCUAUUGGGUAUUGGAUCUCCAUCUAACUACCCAAGCAUCUUAUAUUAGUAGAUCUCUAUCCAAUAAUCUCUCAUGGGCUAAUAUUGGAUCUCGUUCAUGUGAUCCAAUAAUUCAGAGGGUUAUUGGAUAUCCAAUAAGAUAGGGGUUCCGGCGGAUAUUUCAUAUUCGAAUCUUUACUAAUCGCAAUGCUUACCAUAUGUGUGUAACCCUUUAGGCCCAAUAUCGAGCUGGCAAUGAGUCAUACCUAUUAGAACUCCUUCUGGCUCAGUGAAUUAUUAUCUCUAUAAUAACUCACUCGACUCAUCGACUGCGGACGUACUAUGCCACUACGUUGCAGUCCCCAAACGAUACAGGGGAAUAUAAUCCAUUGGACCUGUCAGUCCUCAAUUAUCGUAUAUUUAUAGUCCCUCAUCCAUAUAAUAUCCCAGAGACCGUAUACCGGGUAUGGUGUUGUCAAAUCUAUACGGUUUCUACUCGAGUCUCGCUCUAAUCAGAUUCUCUCGGAGAACUCUUUCUCUGUCAAUCUGAAUGACCCUAGCCAGGGAUUUGUCUGAGCAAGAACAUAUGUAAUAUUUCUCUCAUGAUACUGAGAGCGGAUGAUCCUUUAUCGACACUCAAUAGCGCUCGUACGGUUGACUAUCACUCCCGAUGACCGACUUUGCUAGAUCUAGGACAUCCAAACCUAUAAGUCUGGUAUCAAAGAAUUGAGCACUAAUACAAAACAUCGUUGGUGUCUCAAGUCUAAGGAUCAGAUACAUCACUAGGAUUACGGAAUCGCUGUAUGACAAUAAGACAUCAUCAACCAUCCAACAUUCCGGAAGCGGAUCAAUCAGUGAACUCAUUCUCCAAUGUGCACCUAUACUAUAUCCCUAGUGUUCCCACAAGAGCAGCUAUGAGACUAGUUGCAUCCAUCAUAUGGACGGGUAUACAGCACACCAGUAUGUCCGGUAACUUGAUGUCCCUCUCGAGUAAACAUAUGACCAGGAUUAUUUAGGAUCUGUGUUUAAAGGUGAAUUGAUCUCAUUAUUGUGAUUACAUUAUGAUCUGAUUCUCAUUGAACAGAUCCAAGGACAUCACAAUAUAUAUAUAUAUAUAUAUAUAUAUAAAGUGAUCAAUGCCAAAAUAUAAUAGGCAAAAAGAUUAUGUGUCAAGUCACAUGUGCCAUCACUCACGUGAUUGGCUUGUAGGGCACUUAUGACUAGCAGUAUCAGUAUCAAUCCGUCGUGGUGGCUUUCGUCGUAGCGGGUCCUGAUUCGAUCGUUGUUGCAGGUGUAUUGGUAUCUGUAUGUUGUGACGGCUUCCGUCAUAGUAGGUCUUGAUUCAACCGUCGUAGCGGGAGUAUCGGUGUUAGUCUAUUGUAGUGGGUCUUGAUUCGAUCGUCAAAGCGGGAGGAUGGACCCACUAUGAUGGGCUUUGGCUUGAUCAUGUAAGCGAGAGGUUAGACCCACUGCGAUGGGCUUUGGCUUGACUGCAUAAGCUAGAGAGUGGACCCACUGCGAUGGGCUUUGACUCGACCGCAUAAGCGGGAUGUUGAACUCACUGUGAUGGGCUUUGGCUCGAUAGCAUAAACGGGAGGAUGGAUCGGCUGUGGGUUUUGGCUCGGCCACAUAAGCGGGAGGAUGGAUCCGUUGAGGUGGCUUUUGUCGUAGCGGGUCUUGAUCUCGACUGCAUGGGUGGGAGGAUGGAUUCGCUAUGGCGGGUCUGGUCAAAUGGUGGAUGCUGGGGUCCAAGGCUGCUGAGGUUCGAGCCGCAGAGCUGUUCCUAGGAGGAGUCGGUGGGGCCCCCACGUUUGGUUUUGGUGGCGUUGCUGGCCUAGGUGGAGAGGGGACAUGGUAGUGCCAAGCUUCUCCGUAUCAAUUCUAAAGAUGCAUUGCAUAUUUUUCCUUUUCUUUUUAUUCCGUAAAAAAUUGGAACAAAUGAAUCUAUUGCAAAAUCUUUUGUUUGGUAAUCUAAUGUUGCUACCUUAACACGAAAAAUAUGAAAUUGAGACUUCAUUUGGCUUCUGGUGUGGGCAUACAGAGGUAGUAAGAUUUCUCUACAAGAAUAAGGCCAACGUUGGAGCUUGUGCUAUGUGUGAUACGGUUGUGAUCCAUUUUGUUGCUCAGAAAGGUCAUCUAGAGAUAAUUAGGAUCCUAUUAUCCUUUGAUGUCUCUGUCAAGGCCUGUUAACAUGAAAGGUUUGACCCCUCCUGCACUGUGUUGUCCAAGGAUCUCAUUUAGAGCUCAUCGAGUAUCUCAUUAAAAAUGUUGACCUAGGUGAAUCCUUUCUUUUUUCCUUCCCUCUCUCUCUUUGUUCUCCCCCUUUCACACGGUAGUUCACUCUCUCUCAUUUUUUUAUCUCCCCCUUCUGCUUUGGGAGGUUUCCCUCUAUGUUUUUCCCUCCCCCUACUGUCCGGAAGGUUGGGUCUUCUUUUGGGCUUGCCCCUUCUUCUGCUUCUUGGGCAGGUACUCGACCAACAGGGUGUGAGUAUGUUGGCUCGAUCGUAUGAGCGGGAGGAUCGGUAUCAAUCCGUCAUAGCGGGAGUAUUUGUUGGGAAAUCUUGGGGGCGACAUCACAUGUGCAGCGGAAGAACAGAAAACAAAAUCCCCAAUUUCUAAAGAUGUAUUCAUCGUCGUGUGAAGAUUAGUGCGCAAAAAUCCGCGAAACUUAAAACUGCGUAUAAGAUAAAUUGUGGUGCCUAAGGUGAUCGUAUAUUCCUGAAUCCCUGCAGAUCUCUAGGAGAGGGUGAAUGAGGUCAAGCGCACUCCUUUCUUGGAGAAGGGGAGGAGAAUAUGAGAGGCAAGCAAAAGGCUCUAGCCUAUAAACCACUUAUUCCCUCCAAUUUAUUGAGUUUCGCAGUAAACUUAACCCUAAUGUAUCCUCCCCUAUUGGGGAGGAUCUCCAUCCAACUACCCAAGCAUCUUAUAUUAGUAUAUCUAUAUCUAAUAAUAUCUCAUGAGCACUUAUUGGAUCUCUUCCAUGAGAUUUAAUAAUUCAGGGGCUUAUUAGAUAUCUAAUAAGAUAGGGGCCCCGGCGGAUAUUUCAUAUUCAAACCUCUACUCAUCACAAUGCCUACCAUAUGUGUGUGACUCUCUAGGCCCAAUAUCGAGCUGGCCAUGAGUCAUAAUUAUCAGAACUCAUUCUGGCUCAAUGAAUUAUUAUUUUAAUAAUAAUUCACUCGACUCAUCGACUGUGGACGUACUAGGCCAUUAUGCCGUAGUCCCUAGAUGAUAUAGGGGAAUCCAAUCCAUUAGACAUGUCAGUCCUCAUUUACCAUGUAACUUUAGUCCCUCAUUUAUAUAAUAUCACAGAGACCGUAUACCGGGUAUGGUGUUGUCAAACCCAUAUGGUUUCUACUCGAGUCUCGCUCUAAUCGGAUUCUCUCGGGGAACUCUUUCUCUCUCAAUUCGAAUGACCUUGGCUAGGGAUUUUUCUGAGCAAGAACAUAUGAGAUAUUCCUCAUGAUACUGAGAGCGGAUGAUCUUCUAUCGACACUCAAUAGCUCUCGUAAGGUUGACUGUCACUCCCGAUAACUAACUAUGCUAGAUUUGGGACAUCCAAACCUAUAAGUCUGAUAUUAAAGAGUGGAGCACUAAUACAAGAUAUCCUUGGUGUCUCUAGCCUAUGGACCAGAUACCCCACUGGGACUACGAAAUCGUUGUCUAACAAUAAGGCAUCAUCAGCCAUUCAGCAUUCCGAAAGUGGAUCAAUCAGUAAACUCAUUCUCCAAUGAGCACAUGUACUAUAUCCCUAGUGUCCCCAAACGAGCAGCUAUAAGAUCAGCUGCAUGCAUCAUAUGGACAGGUAUACAUCACACUAAUCUGUCUUGUUUUCUCGAUGUCCCUCUCGAGUAAACCUAUGGCCAGGAUUAUUUAGGAUAUGUGUUUAAAGGUGAACCGAUCUCAUUAUCGUGAUCUCAUCACGAUCAGGAUUAUUUAGGAUCUGGAGUAUCGAUAUCGGUCUGUUGUGACGGCUUCCGCUAUAGAAGGUCUUGAUUCAACCGUCGUAGCGAGAGUAUCGGUGUCAGUCUGUCGUUGCGGGCCUUGAUUCGAUCGUCGUUGCGGGAGGAUGGACCCACUAUGAUGGGCUUUGGCUUGAUCGCGUAAGCAGGAGGUUAGACCCACUACGAUGGGCUUCGACUCGACUGCGUAAGCGAGAGAGUGGACCCACUACAAUGGACUUUGGCUCGACCGCGUAAGCGAGAGAGUGGACCCACUACAAUGGGCUUUGGCUCUACUCCUUGUAACAUUCACGAGAUUACUUGACCAGGUACAGAAGAAAUUGCAAAUGAGAAUCGACGCUUUGGGGAAGUGCUUGUAAACAAAACGGGAGAAAGCUCAGAAGAUCUUUGUUUCGACAUGAAUGGCUCGUCAGGCAGUUUGGAAGCCACCAGAGCCCAGCUUACGGAUUUCGACCUACCACUAUCAGGCUUGAUGGAGAACUUCAGUGGAAGAUACUUAUGACUUUACUAAGAAGAUGUGGUCCUUUUUCUAAUUAAUAAAAAAUUUACUAUUGUAAAGACAAGGAUUUGAAUUAAAAGAUUAAGAAAAAAAAAAACAUAAAAAGGAAGUUUAUUAUAUAAAUAAUGGAUAAUAAAUUACUGAUUUUUUAUUCUUUUUAUAAAUAUGGGAUGUGACGCUGCAUACAAAACGUCAAUGAGUUCUGCAAAUAAAUAGGACUGUGCUAAAGAAAAUAAAUCGUGGAGAAGAGCUUCUUGACUCGAGAUACUACAAAGGAUUUAAUAGCUUCGAACAAGCAAGAGAAAUUUUGCGAAGCGUAAGAAUCUUAGCAGUAAUGGUUAGUCUGUGAUUCUUAUUAAACGGUAUAGAUUCGAAUGUUUGUGCACUUGAUGUAGUUUUUGUAAUUUAGUAAUCCCGUGAACUCCAGGCUUUGAUUUAUGCUCUCUAAUUUAUAUCGGUCAUCUAAUGUGUCACAAACCAUGCAGAGAAAUACUUCUUGGAGAGGCGUUGUGGUAUCAGAUCGAAGUGCAGAGGAAACUGCAGGAGCAGCUCGUGGUACAGAAGAAAUUGCAAAUGAGAAUCGAGGCUUUGGGGAAGUGCUUGUAAGCAAUACGGGAGAAAGCUCAGAAGAUCUUUGUUUCGACAUGAAUGGCUCGUCAGGUAGUUUGGAAGCCACCAGAGCCCAGCUUACGGAUUUCGACUUGCCACUAUCAGGCUUGAUGGAGAACUUCAGUGGAAGAUACUUAUGACUUUACCAAGAAGAUGUGGUCCUUUUUCUAAUUAAUAGAAAAUUUACUAUUGUAAAGACAAGGAUUUGAAUUAAAAGAUUAAGAGAAAAAAAACAAAAAAAGGAAGUUUAUUAUAUAAAUAA